rnacentral:rRNA from 1 species
GCGAGAAAACUUUGCAAUGUGCGAAAGCACGACAAGGUUAAUCCGAGUGGUUUCUGCUAAAGAAACCUUUUGUCAGUCCUAGAAACACUAACGAAUAAGGGGUGGGCAAGUUCUGGUGUCAGCCGCCGCGGUAAAACCAGCACCUCAAGUGGUCAGGAUGAUUAUUGGGCCUAAAGCAUCCGUAGCUCGUUUUGUAAGUUUUCGGUUAAAUCCAUACGCUUAACGUAUGGGCUGCCGGGAAUACUGCAUAACUAGGAAGUGGGAGAGGUAGACGGUACUCGGUAGGAAGGGGUAAAAUCCUUUGAUCUAUUGAUGGCCACCUGUGGCGAAGGCGGUCUACCAGAACACGUUCGACGGUGAGGGAUGAAAGCUGGGGGAGCAAACCGGAUUAGAUACCCCAGUAGUCCCUGAGCGGGCUGGCAAGGCGCAU